GAAAAUGGGGUUGUUGAAUUUGUUUUUUUAUUUCUUAUUUCUUGAAUUUUUUUGCAAAAAGGGGGGGGGGCCUCUGUUACAGAGAGGAUACUUGGCUUUAUAGCCAAUUUUACAUGCUAUUUUAGUCUUCUUUUUUCUUUUUCUCUGUUUGCCACUGUGCUUUGCGUGAUUUUCUUCUUUGCAGGCAAGUGGGGUGAUGGGCGAGCGGCAGAGCAGUGGAGCAGGUGAGCAGCGAUGGGACGUGCGGCGGCCAGCAAGUGAACGGCGGAGUUGGUGGGUCUGCUGGUAUGGGUUCUUUUGUUUCUUUCUUGGGUCCGGGCAAAUGGGCCUGCA
rnacentral:lncRNA from 1 species